GGCGAACGCUGGCGGCGUGCUUAACACAUGCAAGUCGAACGGAAGGGCCCUACUUGCGUGGGGUUCUCGAUUGGCGAACGGGUGAGUAACACGAGAAUAACCUGCUCUAGACUUUCGGAUAACUUCAGGAAACUGGAGCUAAUACCAUAUAGGAUCUGCUGCUGCAUUGUGGGGGGGGGAAAGUCUCGGCGGGUGGGGAUGGAUUCGCGGCUGAUCAGCUUGUUGGUGGGGUAGUGGCAUACCAAGGCUGUGACGGGUAGCCGGCCGGAGAGGGUGAACGGCGACCUGGGGACUGCGAUACGGCGCAGUGUGCUACGGGAGGCAGCAGUGGGGAGUCUUGUACAAUCGGAGCAAGUGUGAUGCAGAAGCGCCGGGUGCGGGAAGCCGGCUUUUGGGUUGAAAAACGCAUCAGGCUGUGACGACGCGUGAGUGACGGUACUGGGUAAAGAAGCACCGGCUAACUACGUG
rnacentral:rRNA from 1 species